rnacentral:rRNA from 1 species
CCUACGGGUGGCAGCAGUGGGGAAUAUUGCUCAAUGGGGGGAACCCUGAUGCAGCCACGCCGCGUGAGUGAAGACGUCCUUCGGUAUGUUAAGCUCUUUCAGCAGGGAAGAAAAUGACGGUACCUGACUAAGUUGGCACGGACAACUACGUUACAGCAGGCCUGGUAAUACGUAGGGUGCAAGCGUUAUCCGGAUUUACUGGGUGUUAAGGGAGCGUAGACGGUUAUGCAAGUCCGAAGUGAAAGCCCAAGGCUCAACCAUAGAACUGCUUUGGAAACUGUAAAACUGGAGUGCAGGAGAGGUAGGCGGAAUGCGUAGUGUAGCGGUGAAAUGCGUAGAUAUUAGGAGGAACACCAGUGGCGAAGGCGGCUUACUGGACUGUAACUGACGUUGAGGCGCGAAAGCGUGGGGAUCAAACAGGAUUAGAUACCCGAGUAGUC